GUCUUUCUUUCCUAAACAAGUUCUUCUAUCUAAAAACUCUAUUCUCUCUUCUCUUUUCAAGCUUUCUCUUCUUUAGUUGAAUCCUCCAAUCUUAACUAACGAUCUUGGGCUAGCACAAGGCCUCCAAUAAUACUUUUCUUCUGCUAUUCUUUACAAUGAGUGUUUUCCUGGCUCGUCUAUAAUGGCUUAAACUUAUGCAAAGGAUUUCGAAAUUGUUGAAGAAAGGUCAUAUAAAUACACAAUGGAAAGGGGUCAUUGUCAAGUGAAUUUUAAGAAGGAUAAAUAUGUCAAGAUAUCUGACUAUAUGGAGGUGUCAAAUUGGAUGAAAAGGCCAUUGAAGAACUUAUCAGGAAACAGUAUAUCACAUGUGCUAUAACUCAUUAUCCUAGCUUUCAAAGACACACAAGAGAGGAGGUCUAUACGGGUGCCACUGAGUAAGAAAUAGUGGAGAGGGAGGCUAGAUCCGAACAUGCCCUCCUGAUUGUAGGAUUUGGUACAGAUGAAAAGGGAGAGAAGUUUUUCUCGGUGAAGAACUCCAACGGGAAGAGGCAGGAAUUCCAAGGCUUCGGCAAAAUCAAGUGUAGCAUUGCAAGAAGGUUAGCAUCUUAUUGAGCGUCGUUGCAAGUAGUUUGGAAGAAGGUUGUUGUUUGUUUUUGUGAGGAGAUGUUUUUGUGAGGUAUACCAACUAUUUUGAGAAGACAGGACAAUAGAUUUAUGAGGAAUUUUCAGAAACCAUUAUUGUUUAGUGGUUAUUAACUUCCUAUAACUACCAUAUACAUAAUUACUUCCUAAAACUAUUAUUUAGUUGUUAUGCGACUGUUUUCGUUAUAUUCAUGCUACUAUAUUCAUGAAUACAGUAGCGAAAUUCGCCUAAAAUAGGGGAAUCCAGAUGUGCGACUGUAUUUGUUGUAUUCGCGCUACUGUACUCAUGAAUACAGUAGCAAAA